rnacentral:rRNA from 1 species
UGCCAGACUCCUACGGGAGGCAGCAGUGGGGGAUAUUGCACAAUGGGGGGAACCCUGAUGUAGCGACGCCGCGUGGGUGAAGGAGCGUUUCGGCGCGUAAAGCCCUAUCGGCAGGGAAGAAGGAGGACGGUACCUGACUAAGAAGCCCCGGCUAACUACGUGCCAGCAGCCGCGGGAAUACGUAGGGGGCAAGCGUUAUCCGGAUUUACUGGGUGUAAAGGGGGCGCAGACGGCAGCGCAAGCCAGGAGUGAAAGCCCGGGGCCCAACCCCGGGACUGCUCUUGGAACUGCGCGGCUGGAGUGCUGGAGAGGUAAGCGGAAUUCCUAGUGUAGCGGUGAAAUGCGUAGAUAUUAGGAGGAACACCAGUGGCGAAGGCGGCUUACUGGACAGUAACUGACGUUGAGGCUCGAAAGCGUGGGGAGCAAACAGGAUUAGAUACCCCUGUAA